rnacentral:RNase_P_RNA from 1 species
UUGGUUGAUUGGUCGCUGUAUUUUUGUACAGAGGAAAGUCCGGGCUUCAAACAAGCGGAAUGCCGGGUUAACGCCCGGCGUGUAGUGAUUUUUUCACUACGCAGGGAUAGUGCAACAGAAAGUAUACCGCCGACAUCGUAAGUUGGUAAGGGUGAAAAGGUGAGGUAAAAGCUCACCGUGCGUGCUAACGCGCGUAGCGUGGUAAACCCCAUUUGAAGCAAGACCAAAUAGGAACGGUGCGAUUUUAUAAUCACGGGUGCUUGUUACCGAACCGUUCGGGUAGGUUGCUAGAAGCUGUUGGUAACGACAGUUCAAGAUAAAUGACCAAUCAGAUUUUGUGGAUAUAGUUACGGCGUGAUGCCGUGAGAAUUCGCGAAUUCGGACAGAACCCGGCUUAUAGACCAGUCCGU